rnacentral:lncRNA from 1 species
CUCCCAGUCACCAUGGUAUUUAGAUUCUAAAUUAAAACCCUCUUCUGAGCCUUGUAAUGAUGCUGACUUCCUGUUUGAGUCUUGGAUCCUGCAAGUCAAUAGAACUAUCAAGUGAGUCUCCUGACUGUACUGCCAUGUUGUUGUGCACUUCAGGUCCUUUACAUCAGAGAAGGCGAUUGAGAGGAUGCCUUUAUUCCUGUGGCUCCAGGCAGGGACGCUGCUCCAUUCCUCUCCAGGACUUCUUUCAGUCAAGCUGGCUUAUAGGCCUGUGUUCCUUUCUACUGAAAUGUGUUGAGGGCUGGAAGUUUCCCUCCCUUUAUCUCCCUUCCUUCUGAUACCAACCUGGAAAUGCUCCACUGGCUACUGCACACUACCUUUAAACAUGGUGGAGUUGAAAUACCCGAGAUGUACUGUUCCAUUCAUAAAUCCCUGUUGUCUCAUAUUAUUAACUGAAAACGCUGGAAGAAUCCAAACUGACUCUAUUGUUAUGGAGUUCUUACACAUAGUCUUACAAAUUCUUAGUGUGUGAGUGCUGUUCAGUCUCUGAAGAAAUGUUGCAUUGCUAUUUUUGUGAUGUAAUUUCUUUAAGGGGAGCUGUUGCAAACAUUAAG